UUUCUGUUAAGUAUCUGUAUAUGUAAGUAUGUAUAUGUUAUAUACUUAUAUCUGUCUUUCUUGGAAAGUUUUUUUUUUUUUUUUGUGCGCAUGUUAUGUCAGUUGAGUUUUUGUUGAUUUCUGCUAUCACAAGCUAAUCAAUCAGUAAUUGGUUUUCUUUUUGUUUGCUUAUAGUGUGAAGGAAUUUUUUCAGUUUGCUAAUAGAGUUUGCCAUGUGAUCCAAUCUCUUUUUCUUUCCCCGUAGCUCACUUCUAGAUAGCCUUUAUCCAACUUAAUGUGAAGGCACUCAAUACCAUCUGUUUCAAAUCUGCUGUGAAUGUAAUAGAUUUUAACCAAACUACAGAAUGAAGUUGACACCUAGAAUUUGUAUCUGUUUAUAUAUACAACUUACACAAAUUCAGAUAUUAAAAUGGAUUUCCUUAUUCUGAUUGUAUUAUGACUAAACAUUGUAAUCAGUUUUCAACUUGGUCAUCUACAAAACAAGAUUAAUUUACUUUUCAAAGCCUCAGUACCUCUUUUCCUAUCAAUUCAAAUAUGUCAUUGUACUUUUUAGGAGCUCUAAUGUACUGCUUUUCUCUCAGGUCACUGAUAACUUCCUUCAUGAGGUCACUAGCAAUCUGGAAACUCUCAUAUUUUGCUCCCAGACUUUUAUAAGCAAGAAUUUCGUACUUGGAGGAAAUGGGGGAAUUUCAAAGGUAAAGGGGAGCUUCUGGUCUUGAUUUCGAUUGAGUUUUUAAAGGGAUGAUGAGGAACUAAGGAGGACUGCAGGAAGCAGCAGGUCCUUGAGACUAUGGUCUCGGCAGAACUGGUACAAGGUAAGAAUUCCAAGCCUUUGAGUUGUGAAUGUGUUUCUGUUGGGAUAUUGAGAUUAAUUAAAUCUGUUAUUUUGUGCUGGAGAUGAAUAUAUGGAAUUGAUGUAUAAAACCAUUAGAUUGAUUGAAUUUGGGAUGUAUAUGAAUUUUAUUAAUACAGAAUUGAAAUGCUUCUGCAAUUUGUUUCG